AAUACCAACAUUAUUAUAUACUAAAAUUGGAACUCUAUAUAUAAGAUUAACAUGACCCUUACACAUGGAUGACAUGCAAAUUCAUUAAGCAUUCUGUAUGUUU